ACAAAUAUGGAACGCUUCACGAAUUUGUGUGUCAUCCUUGCGCAGGGGCCAUGCUAAUCUUCUCUGUAUCGUUCCAAUUUUAGCAUAUGUGCUGCCAAAGUGAGCAU
rnacentral:snRNA from 1 species